UUAAGUGAAAUUGGAGAGAGAGAAAACAAAAAGUCAGUAAAACUCUCCCCACUUCUUCUUCUUCUCACGAGACUCACCCUCAUCAUCUCACCAUGGAGCAUCAAGAAAUUCAUCCUCACUUCAUUGAUUCACAAUCUUGCAUGAUUACUUCUAAAAAAUAAAAAUAAAUCAGCAACUUCUCUCCCUACUCUUCGUACUCUCCACGCAGCAGCAACAACAACAAUUGCCUUCAACCCAUUUUCUUCUCAACCUCAAAUUAAUCCCAAAUCUACCAUGCAAUUCACUUCUUAGGUUCCUAAGCUCAAGUGGAACAAGUGGGUUUGGUGGAAGAGUAGUAUUGUUGCAAGAGAAGGUCAGAAGCAAGGUUUAGAGAGCUAUUAAUGGGUCGGAGGAGUUGGAAAAGCUCAUAGCUAGCCUUGAAGUCUCUUGGGUGUUAUUGGCACUUUAAGCUAACUCAAAUACGAUCGUUGUGGUACCGGUUGCAUGAUUUUUCGACGAGCGAUGAGGUCGAUAAACAUUUUUGAAGUUGGCAGUCAGUAGCUAACUCAAAUACGAUGAGGUCGUUGUGGUACCGUUUGUUUCCAUGGAUAGCUAACUCAAAUACGGUCGUUGUGGUACCUGUUGCAUGAUUUUUCGACGAGCGAUGAGGUCGAUAAACAUUUUUGAAGUUGGCAGUCAGUAGCAGAGCUUGUGCAGAAAAUCUGGUUUUUUUUGGUGUUUUAUGGACUACGGAUUUGCAUUUUGAGCGGCACAAACAGAUGAUUAUAAGCAUGCGAAACAGUUCAGAAUCUCUAUCAAACUCAGGUUUACUAGAGCAAGGACCAGGUGGGAAUUGAUGGUCGAGACUGAGCUUGAAUUAUCCGAUUAUAAGAUUUGUCUUCUUCCUUGUUUUUGUAUUAAUCUGUUGUUUCCAUUAGUUUCCUUCCGCUGUGGAUUUUUAUAAUUAGAAGUCAUUAUGUAAUUUAAUGUACUCGGAUUCAAUUAUGUAUAUUCCGACUAAAUAUUCUAGACAUUAUAGUUGGGGUGUUAUAAUUGGUAUCAGAGCAGGUCGAUCCAGUAUUGGACCUUGCCCUGAGUCAUUAUGGUUCAAUCCAAAGAAGUACGGACCCUUUGGAGUCUGGACUGUUUAUGCUGACAUCAUCGCGUGCUGAGCCCGAUCAACUCAGUAUCGUGUAUGGUAGGCAGGGUAUUACGGUUGAGAACCGAAGUGGACCAAGGAGGUCAAGUAGUAAGAGCGCAGUAGAAGCACGAAUUCAGAAGCAGUUGUGAACAAAGAUCCUUAGAACCGGAUAUUGGAGCUGGAGUAGUCGACGCCACAGGAGUAAGUAGUGUAACACCAACAAGUGGUGCAAAGAAUUCGGAAGAAGUACGUGGUAGCAGUAGUAAGAGGUAUGUUAAAAGGUGCAAGAGAUUGAUGCGCUCAAAUGUUGGAAGCAGGCGUAACUAUUUAGAGGAUUCUGAUAAAAAGGAAAACCCAGUAUCUAAAUAAGCGUUGAUCGAAAUAGAAUCGAAAUGGAGUAUAGAAGUAGGACCCUCGAAUGAAGAUAGUAAGUCUGAAUUGUGCAAUGAGACAGAUGAUGGACUUGGGAGACUGAGCACAGUUUAAAUGAAAUGUGUAGUAUGCAAGUAGUAACUAACCGACACAUAAGUGUUGUGUGAAUCUUUCGGAACCUAGAAUUACCCUUCUGUCCUUGUGAACCUUUAUCAGUAACAUGUCAGACCAAGUAUGACCUAACAAUCAGUUAGCCACAACUUUUCCUAAAAUUGUUAAUCUUCGGUGCAGUCCAGAAAUUCAUUUUAGUGUCAACAGACCCAUUAACUACCUCUAUUGGAGAAUUCAAACUAGAUCACAUAUAUCCCAUUGUUUUUCUAAAGUAAGUCUAUCGUACUAUUCAUUUAGAAUGAGUUACACCAGAUGUCCUCGAGGAGAAAAUUUCAGCCUCUCAGCCCGUAACCAGUAAUCUUACUACACCACUAUAGUCAAGCGUUACCCAGUAUAACAAUUAGAAUUUCCUCUUAAUGAUACCAGUCAUUCAAGUAGGUCUCUUAAGUGAUGUUACUUAAUUAACCUUAAAAUUAGAAACUCAAUUUGAUAUUAGUCUUAAUAAGUCAUCAAAAACCUUAGGUGUUCAAACCUUGCAGCCAAAACCCAUCAGAGUCAGUUACACAUCCUUGUAAGAGCUUGUCAGCUAAAUUUCAAAUUAGAAUCAAGUUUUUCGUAACUUAAGAGAAUUGCCGAUAGAAAGAACUCGUGGAGUAUGAGCUUGAAAUCAGUAGGAAGUAGACCCUAACGUUUAUAGUAGACAGUUGUGACCAGAACUGAUACGGUGGACGUGACGAAAUAUAUUUCGAAAUAAGAUAUGGGGAAGUAUGUAAGCUGGUACUAGAUUGGUAGUUCAAUGAUAGUUAAGUCGAGACGAGUUGUGUGGCGUGUAAACCUUAGAGAACAAGUUGCCAUCCAACCAUGGAAACACUAACCAGGUAUAAUUCGUUGAAUUGAGCAAUGCAUGAUUUGAUAUCAGCAAGCUGUAGAAAAUCAUAAAUGGGCGUGAUCUCCAAUUUGUCUGAUUAUGCCUCAGACAAAAUUAUUUCUUUUUAUGCUUUAAUGCCUAUCAGCAAUGUUCGACAUAUAAAUUCAAAUAAAAUGAGAACCUCCCUAUUUUCUCGUUAUUUAUCAGUCAAACGAACGUUUAACGUAUUAUUUUCAAGAUCUCUGCCCAAAAUAUCUUUAGCCUUUCCGUUACAUUAUUAAUGAUCAAUCCAGAUCAUCAAAAGUUCUAUUACUCUAAAAGGACACGAGUAAAUCCAGUUUAAAGUUCCCACUUGUCCUGUAAUUCUUGUUACCCUGUUAAUCAGUAUCAUUAAACCCUCUAGAUACAAAUGACUCAGUUUAGUGUCAGUUUCGGUAAAACACUUAGAUCUUCCAUGUGCUUGAAAUUCGAAAUUGUUUAACCAAUCGAUUUACUCAACCUUCCUUAUAAGAUCUCGUCAACUAGUUUCGGAUAAGAUCCAAAUCCUCCCGUGUUCAAGAGAAUUAAGAAGAAAUAAUAAGGUCAAUAUUAAUUGAAAACCCUUUUCAGUCCCAUCCCUAGUUAUCAGAAUAGACCAGUGUAAGCCUGAGAGUAUUAGCCAAUAAACACGGGUGUUCCUUCAGAAAACUACCAAUUAUUCUAGUGAUCUGUUUGCUGAUACCUAUAAGCAAUCUAGAGACAAAUAACUCCAUUAGUAUUGCCACUAGCAUUAUAAGACAACAUUUCUUGUAACUCGACUGUCCGAACAGUGAUCAAGUUAAUUUAGAAAAUCCUUCAUUAGAACCUUAUCAGCAUGUCAGUCUAAUAUUUUAGUCUCAUCUUAAAUAUCUCUGACAAAAUGUCUUCAACUCCCAAAUUCCAAUGUCAGCAACUAGUUCGAAUCAGUGUACGCUGAAAUUUCUCGCUACGUAUUGAAUUGUCUCCUUUUGAAAAACAUCAAUUGUCCUAGCUAAUCUGUUAUUUAACCUCAUUAAGUACUCCAGAGUUAAGUGAUUCAAAUUAGUCCCAGUAUUAGAAAUUCAAGACCUUAUGUGCUUAACCACUGAAUUGGUAACUAGACUGUCUCAAUCAAUUUCUUAUCAAAAUCCUACCAGCUAAAUUCCGCCAAGAUCCAAUUCUCGUUUUAGAAGAAUGUCGGUAGAAUAGGAAGUUAAGCAGAGUUGACUCGCGGAUAACAUUAGUGAAUGUAGUAAGGGUUAGCGUUAGAUCAAUUAAGUCACCAUAAGUGGAGUAUGACGAGAAAGAUGAAACACGGUGCCAAACGCGAAGCAGUGAAAAGACUAAAGGACAUGAAACAACUAGAAAACGAAAUGAGUGGACGUGUAGCAAAAAUAUAAGGUUGCGAUAAGGUGUUAAUUAUGCAGUGGUACGUCUGACAUCACAAAGCGAUGCUAGUUUUGAUUUAUCAGGUUGUACGACAGAAAAGGUAGUGACGUGAUAGGAAAUAGAGACAAUCAGUGCAAUAUCUAGUAGACUGGUUUUGGAAGUAAAGUACGGUAGAAGUAUACGCUGGACUGACAAGAAUUAAUAGACACCGGUGAUGUAAUCUAGGAAGAUAACACCUCAAUUUAUAAGGAAAGGUAAUAUUGGUUUAUGUUGAAAACUCUAUGUGCCCAAGAUCAAUCAUGUAUAUGCACUCUUUUUCUUAAUCCACGUACAAAUAUAUAUACAUGAGAGAAAACUUUUUUUUUUUCAUUGUAACCAUCAUGUAGCUAUUAACUAGGAGUAAGUGGGUAUUAACAACUUAUUAAUAACGAAAAAACACAUGUUUAUUGACCAAGUAAGACGUUAACAACUUAUUAAUAAUAAUGAUGAUAAUUAUAUAAUUUUAAAAGGACUUUAAAAUAAAUUAUUUUGUCAAAAUAUACAACAAUCCCCCACAAUUUAUUUUAAAGUUUAGAGGAAUAUUCAAAAAACAUUUCCUGGAUUAACAUCAUUGAUGUAAUGCAUCAAACUGGUGUACAAAUAUAUAUACAUGAGAGAAAACUUUUUUUUUCACUGUAACCAUCAUGUAGCUAUUAACUAGGAGUAAGUGAGUAUUAACAACUUAUUAAUAACGAAACAACACAUGUUUAUUGACCAAGUAAAACGUUAACAACUUAUUAAUAAUAAUGAUGAUAAUUAUAUAAUAUUAAAAGGACUUUAAAAUAAAUUAUUUUGUCAAAAUAUACAACAAUCCCCCACAAUUUAUUUUAAAGUUUAGAGGAAUAUUCAAAAAACAUUUUCUGGAUUAACAUAAUUGAUGUAAUGCAUCAAACUGGUGUAGCAAGCUAUAUGAACCAGUCCUAGACUGAUAGUACUUAACACACAAUAACAUUGGUGUAGCAAGCUAUAUGAACCAAUGAUACUUAGCGUGUGUUAGCGGUCUGCCAAUCGCAUUACUCCCCACAGUUCUUGCUGUUGCCGCUGUGUUGCGCGUAUAGGCCGUGCGCGUGCCUGGAUUCAUUCAUGAGUGCUCUAGAGAUUUCGCCAAGAUCUCAUACAAGCGGCCCCACUUGACACUCACAUAGGUGAUUUCAUCAAGUGUAUUCUGCAAAUCAUACACCACCCAUAAGGGAUAUGAAAAUCAUUAAAAGCUUUAUUGCUUACCCUCUCAAUAAUGCAGAAUCUAGCACUUUCUCACUCACACCAUAGAAAAAGGACUAAGACAAAAAUUAAUUAACUAAUUUUUGGUGCUAGCAGAUCUAACAAGUAACUUGUUCUUACCCAUAUGAACCUUAUUCAUGGGAUCUCCAAUCACAAAGGUUGGGUUCCUAUCACUUGUUGAUUUCAAAUGGCUUAAGUCCAAUUCCUCUCGAUGUGUCACAAAAUUAUUUCUUCCCAGGGGCUUUUCCAGUACGUACUUUACACAAAUGAUGAAGACAUAAUUUUCUUUCAUCAAGUAAUAUUGACUAAGACGUCUCUAAGUCAAUCAAUCUCAUAUAUUUAUUCAAGUCUAUAACAAUAAACUUGUUCUCUAAAAUAAAUCUAUACAUGUCUUCUUAGUUAACUAAGCGACAAUAUUCUCACUUA